UCUCGCCUCGGCCAGCCGCUAGGGCAGUUAGAGGCGCGGGGAUCCGGGCUGAGCCGGCGGCUGCUGGGAGGCUGUGUCCGGACGCCGGCGGGGCCACGCGGCCCGGCUCUGCUUGUCCGGCCUGAGAACCGGGAGGACGCUGGAGAAAAGCUGCCCUCUGAAUGUUUGUUUGGCUGCCCAGGCUCGCCUUGACUCCAAAUGGUUGAAAACAGAUGCACAGAUGAUAGGGUGGAACAAAGUGGAACAAAGAAAGAAGAUCUGGAUGACAAAGAGAAAAGUGAUGAAGAAGAAACUCCUGCACCUGUAUACAGCGCAAGUCAAUUCUGCACAGCUGGUUAUGGGGCAAGCAACCAGAUAAUCUUGUGCGUUUUGACGCUUAGGAAAGCUUAAUCUGACGCUCCUUAUCUAAAUAACUUGGAUGGAUUAUUAGUAUUUUUGGUAACAAUUUUUUGUUUUGUUUUUUUUGAGGCAGAGUCUAACU